ACUCCUACGGGAGGCAGCAGUGGGCAAUAUUGCACAAUUGGCGAAAGCACGAUGCAGCGACGCCGCGUGAGGGAUGACGGCCUUCGGGUUGUAAACCUCUUUCAGCAGGGACGAAACUUUAGUGACGGUACCUGCAGAAGAAGCACCGGCCAACUACGUGCCAGCAGCCGCGGUAAUACGUAGGGUGCAAGCGUUGUCCGCCAGCAGCCGCGGUAAU
rnacentral:rRNA from 1 species